UUCUAUUCUAGUGUUGGAUACAUUGAUUUCUCGGAAUCUUACUUCAUGCCUAUGGAUGUGGAUGCAUGUUUCUUUUAAGACAUGCUAAUAAAUGUAGUUUAAAUAUUGAGAGGGUCUGAAAGAGAGAUGAGAACUAAUGAAUAAACAUUAUGGAGCCAGUGCAGUCCCCAAGUCCAUUCACACAGAUGAUUCACCGUCUCGAGGCUGACUGAUGAGUAUUCUUCACUACUUAAGAGUUAUUUCCUUUUUAAUUUUGAUCAUUCUUACCAUCAUUUUGUGUUCUUGCUGCUUGUGACAUCUGCUGUCCAGUCAUCUCAGAACCCUCAAAAGAUUGUUUUCCAUGUCAUAAUGUUUAUGCAUCAAUUUGAUUGGUAAACAAGUUAGAGAGAAUAUACAUGUUCUUGAUGUGGUGGAGAAUCACAAUAGAAUGUGCACGCGGUUACUAGCAUGGAAAAUUAAUCACAUUGCUGGGGCUAAUCAUAGUGACACAACCCCCCUUCCAAGUAUAUAUCAUUGCUGAACCAGAGGUAAUUAAUUGUGGUGUCAAUAUCUGUAUUUAUUUGUGAAAAUACUUUAGAAUGGUCUACAUAAACAAAUUGCAAACUGUUUCUUUUCCAGCUAAUGAAAUUUUCCUGAGCUAAAUGUAGUACUAUGAAUUAUAUUAUCUGCCAAUAACCAGCCCCUUAAAUGGAACUUAAUUGGCUUCUUAUACUCGAACUAAUAAUUUAUAUUAUCUUGAACUUGCAUGUUCUUGAGUAAGAGCAUCUUCCUGCUACUUGGAAGUAUAUGGACAAGGCCUUGGCAGAUCAGGUGGAGUUUGAUUUUCCCCCCUCAUAUUAUAUGGAGUAAGUACAAUCAUAUUAAUCAAUAUCACAUUUAUUAAAUCAUUUCAUGCAAAUAUUUCUCACUCACUCAAACUCGAUUUUAUGUAAAUUAAUACUACCACCGAUCAUCACUCAAAUAACUGUUAGCUGUUUGGUGGUUAACUUUUGAAAAUUUAACCCUCGAAAUCAUAUUUCCAACAUCGAUAAGUGAAUGCAGUAAUUAUAUAGGUUAGCAAGAGUCAUGUGAAUAUAGUAAGCACAUGAUAUAUAGUACUUGUGUUUUUGGCCUGCACAGUCUAAUCAUAAUAAUAUGUGAUGCUUUAUUAUGAGAGAGAGAGAGAGAGGGCAAUGAAGUUUUGGAGAUAUACAUGCAUGAUGCUAUUAUAGUCCGUGAAUAAUGGAAACAUUAAUGUAGUCUUGGCAUUUCCAUUGUGUCAUAUAUGUACCUAAUAUGAGCUGGCUAGGGAUGUCAAUGUAACCCGAACCCGCGGGCCGGCCCGAAUAACCCGAUAAAAAUACAGGGUUAGGGUUGUAAUUUCACAGCCCGAAUUUAAAAUCGG